UAAAGAAAUGGAAAGUAAACGAACAGAAUUCCAAAUCAAUAUUGGUGCGACUACCCUUUGGUUAACAAACUAAACCAAGUGGGUGCUAAUGAUCAUCAAUUUCAUGUAGGCUGAAACACAGUGAUGAACUGAAACAGAAACAGCUGUGUAGGAGACUUAAAACUGAAUGAUCAGCAAAACCUUGCUUCUAAGGUGAGGUGUUACAGAUUACACACUAUGGCAAGACUGAGCACACAAAGAUAGUUAUACUGCAUCAGCAAGGUCUCUCCCAGGCAAAGAUUUUAAAGCACACAAGUUGUGUUUAAGCUAUUUCGAGAAGCACAAAGAAAUGGGCUCUCUAGAGUACCAGUAGACCCUGGUCCACCAAGAAAACUUAAUGCAGUGGAUGAAAGAGCAUCAUGCUUAUUUCUUAUCAACCUUGAACGAUGUCCAGCAGUCUAAUCAGGCAGAAACCAGUGGGACACAGGAUCUGCACUACAAACUACUGGAUGGAGUAACUACUGGAUGGAGUAACUACUGGAUGGACACCUGCCAUCUGAAACCUUCAGAUACAUUUGUGCUUUUGUACAAAAUACAUACAAAUUAAAAAUCCAAAAAAUUGA